GAUGAACGCUGGCGGCGUGCCUAAUACAUGCAAGUCGAGCGAACGGACGAGAAGCUUGCUUCUCUGAUGUUAGCGGCGGACGGGUGAGUAACACGUGGAUAACCUACCUAUAAGACUGGGAUAACUUCGGGAAACCGUAGCUAAUACCGGAUAAUAUUUUGAACCGCAUGGUUCAAAAGUGAAAGACGGUCUUGCUGUCACUUAUAGAUGGAUCCGCGCUGCAUUAGCUAGUUGGUAAGGUAACGGCUUACCAAGGCAACGAUGCAUAGCCGACCUGAGAGGGUGAUCGGCCACACGGGAACUGAGACACGGUCCAGACCCCUAGGGGGGGCAGCAGUAGGGAAUCUUCCGCAAUGGGCGAAAGCCUGACGGAGCAACGCCGGGUGAGUGAUGAAGGUUUUCGGAUCGUAAAACUCUUUUAUUAGGGAAAAAAAUAUGUGUAAGUAACUGUGAACAUUUUGACGGUACCAAACCAAAAAACCCCGGCUAACUACGU
rnacentral:rRNA from 1 species